rnacentral:rRNA from 1 species
ACGAAGGGGUCUAGCGUUGUUCGGAAUUACUGGGCGUAAAGCGCGCGUAGGCGGAUCGCUAAGUCAGGGGUGAAAUCCCAGGGCUCAACCCUGGAACUGCCUUUGAUACUGACGAUCUGGAGAUCGGGAGAGGUUGGUGGAAUUCCGAGUGUAGAGGUGAAAUUCGUAGAUAUUCGGAGGAACACCAGAAGCGAAGGCGGCCAACUGGCCCGAUACUGACGCUGAGGCGCGAAAGCGUGGGGAGCAAACAGGA